rnacentral:rRNA from 1 species
CGCGCAGGCGGCCGGGCAAGUCUGGUGUGAAAACGCUACCGCUUAACGGAGCGAUGUCGCUGGAAACUGCCCGACUUGAGUGCGAGAGAGGCGAACGGAAUACCUGGUGUAGCGGUGGAAUGCUCAGAUAUCAGGUAGAACACCGGAGGCGAAGGCGGUUCGCUGGCUCGUUACUGACGCUGAGGCGCGAAAGCGUGGGAUCAAACG